CAGUAGCCGCGGUAAUACGUAGGUGGCGAGCGUUGUCCGGAAUCAGUGGGCGUAAAGGGAGCGCAGGCGGGCAUGUAAGUCUUUCUUAAGAGUUCGGGGCUCAACCCCGUGAUGGGAAAGAAACUACAUGUCUUGAGUACAGGAGAGGAAAGCGGAAUUCCCAGUGUAGCGGUGAAAUGCGUAGAUAUUGGGAGGAACACCAGUGGCGAAGGCGGCUUUCUGGACUGCAACUGACGCUGAGGCUCGAAAGCCAGGGGAGCGAACGGGAUUAGAGACCCCCGUAGUCCCUGUCUCUUAUACA
rnacentral:rRNA from 1 species